GACGAACGCUGGCGGCGUGCCUAAUACAUGCAAGUCGAGCGAAGCGGCGGAUGGGUGAGUAACGCGUGGGUAACCUGCCCUUAAGUCUGGGAUACCAUUUGGAAACAGAUGCUAAUACCGGAUACUAAAGGAUGGACCUGCGAUGCAUUAGCUAGUUGGUAAGGUAACGGCUUACCAAGGGGAUGAUCCAUAGCCGGGUUGAGAGACUGAUCGUACACAUUGGGACUGACACACGGCCCAAACUCCUACGGGAGGCAGCAGUAGGGAGUCUUCCACGAUGGAUGAAAGUCUGAUGGAGCAACGCCGCAUGAGUGAAGAAGGUUUUCGGAUCGUAAAGCUCUGUUGGUGGGGAAGCGGUAAUCAACCAGAAAGUCACGGCUAACUACUUGCCAGCAGCCGCGGUAAUAC
rnacentral:rRNA from 1 species